UACGAAGGGUGCAAGCGUUAGUCGGAAUUACUGGGCGUAAAGCGUGCGUAGGCGGUCUCUUAAGUCCGUUGUGAAAGCCCUGGGCUCAACCUGGGAACUGCAGUGGAUACUGAGAAGCUAGAGUGUGUCAGAGGAUGGUGGAAUUCCCGGUGUAGUGGUGGAAUGCGUAGAGAUCGGGAGGAACACCAGUGGCGAAGGCAGUGGCCUGGACCGAUGCUGACGCUGAGGCGCGAAAGCGUGGGGAGCGAUCCGG
rnacentral:rRNA from 1 species